UGCAGCAGGAAGAACACUGGUGAACAGGCAGGCAUCGGAAAAAGCAUGAAAACAAAACAAAAUCACGGUUGGAACCCAUGGAGGCUCUCCGGUGGCAGCUAUAAAGACUAGAUGGAUGCCUGCUGAGCUGAGACAUCCUGAAACAGGAGCAUGAUUAAAACUGUUCCGUGCCUUGGGGCCAGGGAUGAAGGGAUAUAUGAAGUCUGAGGGUACACAUAGGAGGGCCAUUUGAUGUUAUGUGACCUCCUUCAGGAUGUUCUGCCUAGAACCCUAGAGGCAACCACAUUGCUGAGACUCCUUGGGUACAG